UACGUAGGGGGCAAGCGUUGUCCGGAUUUAUUGGGCGUAAAGAGCGUGUAGGCGGUUAUACAGGUCCGCUGUGAAAACUGGAGGCUUAACCUCCAGACGUCGGUGGAAACCUUAUAACUAGAGUCCGGAAGAGGAGAGUGGAAUUCCCGGUGUAGCGGUGAAAUGCGCAGAUAUCAGGAAGAACACCCGUGGCGAAAGCGGCUCUCUGGGACGGUACUGACGCUGAGACGCGAAAGCGUGGGGAGCGAACAGG
rnacentral:rRNA from 1 species